rnacentral:rRNA from 1 species
GUGCCAGCAGCCGCGGUAAUACGUAGGGUGCAAGCGUUAAUCGGAAUUACUGGGCGUAAAGCGUGCGCAGGCGGUUUUGUAAGUCUGAUGUGAAAUCCCCGGGCUCAACCUGGGAAUUGCAUUGGAGACUGCAAGGCUAGAAUCUGGCAGAGGGGGGUAGAAUUCCACGUGUAGCAGUGAAAUGCGUAGAUAUGUGGAGGAACACCGAUGGCGAAGGCAGCCCCCUGGGUCAAGAUUGACGCUCAUGCACGAAAGCGUGGGGAGCAAACAGGAUUAGAUACCCUGGUAGUCC